CUCCGACGGGGCCGCGGCUACACAGGCUCACCUCGCACUCUUCCCCACAGCGGCUGGUCGCCGUCAGCCAGACCCCUAUGAGGAGACUCCCGGCGGCGACCGCACAGACGCUGACUGACGCUUCUUACAGUUGAGGCUUCGGGGGAAAAAAUAUCAAACUUGUUUGGACAAUUGAUCGAAUGAUGUGGGCAACGGAAAGCUAUGUAUAUCCUGAACACACUCUUACUUCCAGAUGAAGGUAGCUGCUGCAGCAUUUGAGAGACUCCAUCAACCAGACACGUGUGCCCUGGCAUGACAUGGUGUCCUCUUUCUUGGAGUGAUUACCAGACCUACAUGAUGGGAGAGAGAAGUCAGUACAGCAUUAACAGUGGAGUAACUGAUAACAGCAUUUCAAGUCAGGCAAGGGAGCAAGGUCAAGAACACCUAUGAAGUCAUGGUGAUGACCUUUGUCCUUUAUUACAUGAUGACAAUGAUCCCUUACCUCUACAACCUUCCACCUGAAAAGCCACACCCCUGACUGGUGAGCGAGAUUUUGUAAUAUACCUGUGUGAAGAUCUUCAGAAUAGUUAAAGCCACCAAAAGCAGGGGACAUUUGAAAAAUGGUCACUGGCAUGGAGAGUCUGAGGAGCUGAGAUGGCUGAAUUGAAUGACGUUCUGCAUGGGAUCCUGGAAUGGGAAAAUGAGAUUGGGACAACAAGGAAAUCCGAAUAAACAGAAUUCUGUAGUUAAUAACCAUGAAUUUGUGUUGUGCCAGAUGUGAGCACAAGAGAACUUGGUCCCAAGCAUGCAGAACCUUUAUUAUUUGCAAUAAUUUUAGACAUAUGAAACUCUAAAUUUGCUUGCUUAAAAUAUCUUACAUACCAUUUUUAAGACACAUAUAAGAACUAUAGAUUCAGAAAUUAAAGAUGGAAAAACCGAUAUCUAAGAUUAAAGGAGAGAGUGGAAAAGCUCAAUCCAAUAACCAAUAGUGCAGUUCUUGAUUUUGUUACUUAUUCAUAGCAUGAUCAUUUUAAUGACUCGGUGGAGACUCAAUCCUGUCCACCUCUGUUAAAAAACACAGGGCAGGAAUGAAUAAAGAUGUCCAAACAGUCGUGUGUGCCUCAAUUUAAUAGACCCCCAUCUAAUUUCAGUCACAAUAUGCACCUUUCAACUAGCAGCUUUAGAACUAGGAGGAGACACCAGGACCUUCUCAGAGACACUGAUGUCAAAGUUGCUUUCAUAAUAAUAAGUUAAUACAACAUAUCCAAAAAGACCACUGCUACCUGUGAAGCCCUUUGCUUAUCACCACCUUCUUUUGGAUCAUACAGCUAUUUUCAUAAAAUAAAUUAUUUAGGCUAAUACACAACAGUUAUUUUAAAUGAGUUGAUAAAUUUUUUAAAUUAUCUUUUAAUUUUUAACAUGGCAAGCAUUGAUAAAUAUAUAUAAACAAUUUUUUAAGAUACUCAUUAAUUGUUGAGGGUAGCAAGUAUGAGAAUGAAAAUUAUUGAAAACCUGUGCUCUAAUUACAGUGAUCAGGUUGUUCUUUUGGGAGAAUAGUUCUCACCACGCAUCGUGUUGUUUCUUAACCCAGCCUGUGUUUACACCCAUUGAGCCAAAAUGAAAGUAGUAGGGAAAGGGUCAAUCCCUGCCUCUCCUGCAGCUCAGACAGAGUAACCUUAGGUUUGACCAGCCACGUACUUAUUUGACCUUUGAAUCUGGGACUCCUGAAGUAGGGCCAAGAGCAACUCUGAGAAGGCAGAAGGUGUGGCAGAGGCCUCAGAUUCUGGAAGGAAAAGUUCUCAAGCAAUCAUCUGCGUCCACUGGGAAUGGCACCGGUGGCACAAGCCGCAGCUUGCCGUCCUGUGUUUGGGAAUGGGUAAUCAGCACUUACAAUGUCUGCAAACAGGACUGUAGGUAUUGUUCAUAGCUAUUCGCCCCGAUUGAGGCUCUCUUGAGCGAAUCCCCCUCCUAGUGUGUUUAAAUUCUCACUCAUCCAGAGAUACUCGGGUACUGCAACCAAGAACCCAGACUGAUUCUACAAACGACAGUAAUUACCAACCUUGAUCUCUUUUAUACCAAUCAGUCUUUCUGCAAUUCUGUAAGUAGGCCUUCCAUUUUAAAAAAGAAAACCUGUUUAAGCAAAUUAAAACAUUUAUAUUAUCAAGAGUUGAAAAAAAAUUGCUGGUAUUCUACCCAACAGUGAACUUUUAUCCAGGCUUUGAAACUAUGAUCCGACUUUCAUCCAGCAGGGAGAGCGGUUCUCACCGUGUUACUUCUCGGCUGUGCAGUUUCUAUGAACGAGCAAGAGGCUGUGAGGAGAGACCCAGAGCCAUGUGUGCAGUUUGUUAGAAAUCAUUUCAAGCACCUCCAGACUUCCUGGGCCAAUCAAAACAGAGAUGUUCCAACACGUUUGAGAGAUUCUCACUUUAUAGAGUGCUUAAGAGCACCAUGAAAACCACACGAGAUCUCAAAUGUAGUGAAUUACAGAAAGGAUUCGAGACCUGGCUCCUAUUAGGUUUCUUUCCUGUUACUAUUUAAUGUGAUACACCCAAUAUAACACUACCCUGUUUGAGCUGCUAGGGUCUGAAAUGGUUCUGCCUUCUUUGACCGUGCAAAUAUAUUUUAAAGUUUUUCUUUUUAAUUCAAAUUACCUUCCUGCAAGACAUAAAGAGGGAAGAGUGUGUAGGAUAUUUAAGUCCUUCAGACGUUUCCAUCUCAUCCUAACUCGGAUUGUUAGGGAUUUAAAUUAAUUUUGACGGAGCACGGCAUCCUCUUUUAUAAGUAGAAAUACUGCUUGAAACUGAAAUACUACUGCAAACUAAAGAUUCUUUGAAGUCGUGAAGUAAUUCAGAGAAAACAUAAGCAGGGACGCACACACUGCUCUGCUUUACUUGGUGCACUGUGAUUAUUGGAUUUGAGGUCGUGGGCAUCCCUGGAUUCUCAGAAGACGGGCUUGUGUACAAGGCACAACACAGCAGAAAGAUAGAAACCAACAUAUGUGAAACUGAGAAAAGGCUGAAUAUUUAAAAGGAGGCUUUUAUAAUGGCCAGUGAUAACCUGCUUCCUGCAAACUUAGGUUACCGGUGUUUCUAACUAAAUGUGAGCGCGUUGUGGCUUCUUAUCUCUUUGUACUUGAAGCUGCACAGGCACAAGAUCACUUGUCUUUACCUCUUCCUGUCUCUCACCCAGGAUGUCUGCCUUUCUUCUCUGCUCACUAAAGAAUAGGAAAUGGCAAAAAAUAAAUAAUGAUUUUUGGUCUGUUCCCAUUACUUUUGUGAGCAUUGUUCAGUUCAACCUAGGCAAUAUCAUACACAUAUUUUUUUCAGUGUUACAUAAAUGAUUGGAAUAUACUUAUUUGGUUAGUAUUUAAUUAUCUCAUCCUUCUAGCCCUUGGGUUCUCAGUGCUAUUAACUGGCCUCUAAGAAGGCUGCUCUAUCAGAGUAAAAAUAGGCAGUACCACUGAGACAUUGCCCAUUACUUACUGACCUAGAAAAAUCCUCAUUGAGUAACUGAGCACCGGCAGGGUCUGACCACUUCUAGGCCAGCCAUACAUGCUGACUGUGGCACAGGAUAUAUCAGUAUUAAUAGUGCCUGAGCUCUGUGCCAUGCUUUAGGGUUACUAUAGAGACUCUGAGGCAGGGUUCUAGCAGAACCCCUAGGAUGAUUGCAUCCUAACAUCUCACUCCACAGAUGAGAAAAGGAAUGAGAAAAGUGGGCGCCCAUCGGAGGUGAGGUUUCUGCAUGGGACUGAAGACUACAGGCCCUUUGGAGGAACACCUCAGGGAGAUGGAGUUAAAAUGUCUGCGCUGCUUUUCUUUUCUACUCUCAUCCUUUCCUGAAUCAUAUCAGGAGGUCCUAUGACACAUCAGCCACAGGCAGAGAAGGAAAAAAAAAACCAUAAUUUGUCAGCAGAUGGCAAGCAAAGGAAGAAGCGUGGCUGGCUGGCUCGUGUGUAGCUGUGUGUGGAAGCAGAAGUCCUGAGCCUUGGCCCCUUACUGAUCACACAUCCUCUACUGGCCAGGCCAUGCUUACUCCCCUCUCCUGUCCCAGAUUACCUGAGCAUUGGUGAGGGAGGACUUGGUAGGUCAAGAAUGAGCUACCUUUGAAAAAGUCAUAUUAAGCAUGAAAUAGAAUUGUAAACCAGUAGCCAAGGCUAGAGGAAUGUAGUUACAGCAAACGAAUCUACUUGUUCUUAAAACACAAAACAAAACAAAACAAAACAAAACAAAAAAAAAACACCAGCAUUUAAUACUAGAUUAAAAAAAUACAAAAAAAAAUCUUUGUAAUACAAUGAGAAAAAUUGCCAUACUUUCUCACAUAAGAUAAAAUGUGUGUGCCAUUUUAUUAAUUCUUGGAGCAGAGAUUUGAAGUAGCCGCAGAUAGGAAAAUUCAGACUCACUAACCUGUCUGGGGUCCCAGGGCCUGUCACUAGAGACAGGCUUUUCAUUUCAGGCUUCCAAUCUCAUCUCCUUAGCAUUCCGGAGUCCACACUAAGUACAGGUUAUGUGUUCUCACUUUUUCCUUCCCAUUGUCUCCUAUCUCCAAACUCAUUACAUAAACGACUUGUAUUAUGGUAGUGGAAAGCUACUUAACUGGCUGUGUCAGGUCUAAAGGGGAAGGGCACGGGGGUGGGGAAACACCGCUGAGAAGCAGCAUGGCUGUUAUGCUGUCCAGUCUUCAUGAGAAGAUGCUCCCUGGAAGAGACUCUGCCUUUCAUGUGUGCUCUGUAAUUAUUUUGGGUGUUUAUGAGACUGCAAUGAUAGGACGCCACAGAAGCUUUCCCUCUGAUCCUCCCCUCCCAUUCCCAUCCUAAGUGUUGCUUCCUCUGAGACGUUUCUUUUUUUUUUUUUUUCUAUCCAAUGCUGCUCUCUUUCCUUUAUAGCACUUUUUAAAAAAUCACAGUUAGUGAUCACAUGUACAGUUCAUUAUUGUCUGUCCUCCUUGGGAGACCAUAAACUUCCUGAAGGGAGUCCCAACGUAAGCAUAUGACUACUUCAUGCAAUUCCCCAAGCAUUUAUCAUGCUAUCUGAAACAAAAUAGCAACUCAAUAAAUUUUCAUUGGAUGGAUGGAUGGAUGGAUGGAUGGAUGGAUGGAUGGAUGGACGGACGGACGGAUCACAUCUAGAAGUUCCCAAGGGAUCUGAGGAAGUAGGUGGAUUGAUCAUAUAGUCUAGAGCAAGAUGGAUGAUAUUUUAGAUUAGAGUAAGUCAAUCACUGAUCCCUAAAAUAGGAAUGAGAUCUGAUGGUCUCCCAAAGGCAACAUGCAGGAACAUGAGAUUGGUAUGUUGGGACAGAGAGGGAUGGGAAGUAGCUACAAAGUAUUUUCUCAAGCACAAUGCAGUGUAACACAUAGGUGGUAUCUUAAUAUAAAGAGCAGGAUUGGAGAAAGGAAUUACUCCUGUUUUACAAAUAAGAAUGUGAGGCUUGGGUUGCUGAGGCUGCCUGAAGCUACAUAACAAAUGACAGAUUUGGGGGAGAUGGUGGCUUAGCCUGGCUAAUGUGCUUAAAAACCAGGACCCAAACAAAAAGGCCAGUGUAAUGACAUGCACUUAUAAUCUUAGUGCUUGAGAGGUAUAUAAUUCCAGUGCUUUCAGAGGCAAGCCGAUCCCUAGGGCUUACUGGUCAACCAGCUGAGUCUACUUAGCAAGUUCCAGGUUAGUGAGUGGUACUAUCUCCAAUAAAGGUGGACAGCCCCUGAGGAAUCUCACUCAACAUCACCUUGUGUUCUCCACAUAUGUGCACAUGUACUCCAAAACAUGCACAUGCCUAAACACCACACCACACACACACACACACACACACACACACACAUACACACACACACAUACACACACAUACACACUCACACACAUACACACACACAUACACACAUACACACACACUCACACACAUACACACACAUACACAUAGUCACGCACACAUAUACACAUGUACAUACACACACACACAUACACACAUACACACACACACUCACACACAUACACACAUACACAUAGUCACGCACACAUAUACACAUGUACAUACACACACACAUACACACACACAUACACACACAUACACACACACAUACACACACAUACACACUCACACACAUACACACUCACACACAUACACACACAUACACAUAGUCACGCACACAUAUACACAUGUACAUACACACAUACACACACACGAUAUAGACUUGUCAGUUAUCAAAGGCCAUGGUUUUUAAAAUUCAUUUUUAGAAGAUUAUUCUUUCUUACUAGAUAUAAAAUACAUUCAUAUUUUAAGCAUAGAAUUGAUAAAGUUUAAAGAUGUGCGUCUUUAGUUAUAUGAGAGCCUCUUACAUUUCAAGCUUCACUCUACAAGGCAGUGGAGAGAAUGCUCGCUUCUCCACACCCGUGCUGACUUCGGGCGUCACAGUCCUCAUUCCAGUAGUCACUGUGGUGCAAGAAGGCCCUGGUUUUAUAGCCUUAUAACUUGGUGUCUUAGCAGGCAUCAUGAAUCCUCAGAAAAAGAAAACCAAGAAUUCAUCUGGUUUUUUGGAUAAAGCUGUCAUGAUUGAAUCCAUGGUUUCUGAUUCAAGAAAUAGAGGCUCCCAUCUGGCCACCUUGUAAUGGAAACAUCAGAACGUCCAGCAAAGGCUAGAAAAGAGUGGCAGCAGGCUCCCAUACGACUGGAGUAUAUCACCCAGGCAAGUGAGUCUAUUUAGAUGUAAACACACCAGAGUGCUGAAGAAGGACUUCACUUCUGGUAGAGAGAGACAUUAAAGCUCUAGGACAAAGGAGGCCUCGUCAAUAAAAGACAGUAGGUGAGGCAGUGGCUGCUGCAUGCAGGAGGGGAGCUAUUAGACCACAGCCACUCAGGUAUGGUUUUGAACAAUUACUCCGUGCUAGGUAGGCAGGGUGAGUAGUGCUUUAUAGAAUGAAGGUGUUAGGACUUUUCAGUUGCAAAUAACAGAAUUCAAAACCAAUUUUACUAAGCUAAUUAAUGGAAAUUAGUUUACUUGAAGAAUAACUAUUUCUUAUGAGAUUUUCCUCUUCUUCAUGUGUGUGCUAAAAUAUUUUCCUUUUUAUGUAAUAAUCUUAUGAUUAUAUUAUGGCGAAAUGUUCUUUUAUCCACACAUUAGGUCAAGGAGCACUAGCUUAUUCCCCUCUGGACAUUUUAUUUUCCUUUUAGGGUAUCUAUAAUUAAGUAUAGGUUAUGCAUAAACACACACACACACACACACACACACACACACACACACACACACACACAUUUCAGUCUACUCUACCAUAGAGGUAGUUGCACCUUGUAUCUAUUGCUGCUUUAUUCACUGUAGGAAGGGAUUAGAAUCAACCUGUUGCCCAUUGCCAGAUGAAUGGAUAAUGAAAACUUGGGGUAGGCAUGUGUGUGUGUGUGUGUGUGUGUGUGUGUGUGUGUGUGUGUGUGUGUGUGUGUUAAUAUUCAUUUUUAAAGAAAAAAUAAUCAUUAAAUUUUCAGGAAGCUGAAUGGACUUAGAUUGUAUAAUGUUAAGUGAGGUCACAUAAUCUUGGAAAGAAAAUAAACUCAUGUUCUAUAGUUGCUUGUAUUGCAAAUGCUAAUUAUGUUCCCCCCAAAAUUGCUUGCAUGAGAGGCUCUGCAAGUAGCUUCUGAGAACCUGCCCCCAAUUGGUUCUGAUUGGUAAAUAAAGAUGUCAAUAGCCAAUGGCUGGGAGGACAGACAGAGGUGGGAUUUUAGGAUUCCUGGGCUGUGGACUGAGAGGAGAAGAAGGAAGGGAGAUCAUGACAGGAGGGUGUGGAGGAGAGGAGAUCCACCAUGCCUGAGAAGAGUGCAGGUCAGAGAGGCAUGGCCACCACGUGAAGGAGCUUAGAGAGCGCUGCCUACGGGCCCGCGCAACUGGGUCUGGAGCAGCCAAGGUGGAACAUAGAUAGUAAGUAAUAACUUGGGAUUAUCGGUGGGAGGUAGAUUAACAACAUGGAGGUUAGACAGUGGCCCAGCUAUUGUGCUGUUUGAGGCUUAUUAAAACAUAAAGGCUGAGUGUGUGCCUUUCAUUCAGGAACCUAAACCACUGAGGUAGGAUUUAUUAAUAUUAAUACUUAAUUCUAUAGAUGGCAAUGCAACUAUUUCAAUGACGUUCUCCCUUACGUGUGGAAUCUUGCCAAUAUAUAACAUAUAUAUUUUAUAAUCAAAUAUCAAGUAUAAUGUAUAUCAUGCAACUAAUAUUGUGUGUGUGUGUGUGUGUGUGUGUGUGUGUGUGUGUGUGUGUGUGUGUAUCCAAGUGUUCAUGUGGGUACAGUAUAGCAUGUAGAGAAGAAAACAAGAAAGACUCACUAUUGGAGGAUGGAGAAGGACUGAAUGCAGGUAAUAGAAAUGAGCUAUGAAAGGGGAUAUAAAGCUAAUUCUUCUUUUCAUUCUGACUCUGUCAUGUUUUUGUUUUCAUUUUUGGGUGAUGAAUAAGUUCAUAAAAAUAUAUUUGAUCAUACAAGUAUGAAAUCCAAAGCGAUACUCCAGAGCUUGCAUUGCCAAUAGCUAUUCUAACGGUAUGGAAGCUCUAGGGUGUGUAGUCUUUGGGUCUGGUCGAUUUCAGUGUGAUGUUAUUUUUAUUUGCAAUGAUUUUUAAUUGUGAAGUUUAAAAAUAUAGAAUAAUGGUUUUUAAAGUAAAAAAUAAAAUAAAAGCCAUUGCAGGCACAGCAUCAUCAGAAGUGGCUUGGAGACUCUUCUGUUUGGUGAAUUAGGUUCUCUUGCUGACGUGUUUUGCAUUAAUUUGUAAUUCUCUUGCUUCAAGUUUUUUUUUUUUUUUCCUUAAAUCUUCCAUGUACCAUGCAGCUCAAGCUGCUCUUAAAUUCUCUAUAUAAAUGACUUUGAACUCCUGGUCCUCCUGCCUGUCCUGUCUCCCCAGAUGAUAGGCGUGUGCCACUGUGACUGCUUUAUGCAUUGUCAGGGACUGAACCCGAGUCUUAUGCGUGCAAGGAAAGCACUCUAUCAACUGAACUCUAGCCAUUCUUAGAUCUACUGUUUCUUAGAAAAGAAAAGAAAAACAACAACAACCCAAUGAUUUGCUUUUAAUAAAAAUAUCAGAAUUACUCUUCGUAGCAUAAUACAUUGCAUAGAGCAAAAGUGGUUUCCAUAUCGGACACUCUUCCCGUUGGUCAGCAUUCACACAGUUACCUUUACUCCUACUGUUCUCUCUGUGAUGCUUGGGCUCAAAGCCAGGGAACUGUGUCCAAAUUGUGUUCAUUUUCAUAGUUGCUGUUUAAUUAUACGCUAGGACUGGCCUGUGGCCACCUUGUGACAAUCACCAUUACACUGAUUUGCUGGCUUUGUCACACAGUCUUGUGUUUGGUUUCAGACCCCGGGACAAGAGGCUGAGGUGCAUAUUUUACAUACCAAACCACACCUGGCCUCCAGGUUCUCCCAGCAUCCCUCAGGCCCUACCUGGCCUACCCUGCCCCCAACCCUGAACUUUCCAACUGGAGGCUGGGCUGCCCUUCCCCUACAGACUCUAGUCUAUUAACCCAACAUAUUUUGGUCCCCCUCUCCCCAUCCCACUGCGCAUGCUCUUUCUUUUUCUUCCUUCUUCCUUCCUUCCUUCCUUCCUCUCUUUCUUUCUUUCUUUCUUUCUUUCUUUCUUUCUUUCUUUCUUUCUUUCUUUCUCUCUCUCUCUCUUCUGGUCGCCUCUCUCUUCCCUUCCCUUGGUGACUUCCCUGGACUCCUUCCCUGGGGCCAGUGAACUCACAAAGAGCACCUUCCCAAUAAACCUGCACUCAAUGUAAUCUAAUCUGGCUUGAACUGGUUUAUUUUACCUGCCGAGAAAUAACUUAUCAGUCUGCUUGAGUUCUAAUUUUUCUAUAUGAAUGAAGCUGUGUAUCCUCAAUAUACUUUAUUUCUUAAAUGGCGUCAUAUUUACAGAAAAGUUGAGACAGUAGUGCAGAGUUCCCAAGAGCUCAUACUCGGCUCCCAUACUAACAUAGGCUGACACAUUAAUUAUAACUCAUAAAGCAACACUGAUACAUUAUGAGUUGAAGUAAAUGCUUCACUCAGAUUUUGUUAUAUUUCCCAAGGACCUAUCCUGAUUGCUAUGUGUUAUUUAUUUAAGAUGUCCUUUAGACUCCUCUUAUCUAAGAAACCGUUUCUUAGCUUCUUCUUGAUUUUGACGACCUGGAUGGUUUUGGAGAGCAUUGAUAAAGUAUUUCUCAUAAUGAGCCUCUCUAUCAGAGAAGACGGCUAUUGUUGUCACAUCACAUCAAAGGCACAUGAUCCAUGUGCCCUGUGACUCUUGGCCUUGCCUAGUUGCUUAGGCAGAAAUUGCAUUCUUCACUGUGAAAUUAACUUUUCUCCCUUGUUUGCUGUUCUCACUGAAAGGAAAUCAUUAUAAGAAUCCCACACUUGAGGCCAGUAUAAAUUCUGUACAUAUAUUAAAUGAGAUUUUUCUGCAUAAGAAACUCCUGGUUUAUUGAUUAUUCAGUCAUUUGUCAGUAUGGAGUUAUAGGUAUUUACUUACUUGAUAAUUACUUGUUAUAAUUUUAAAAACUUAAAUUACAUUUUAUUCACUUUUCCCAUUUUUAAAAUCAUGUGUAUGUACUUAGACACAUCUGACAUGCAUGUGAAGGUCAGAGGAAAUCUUAUAGAGUCAGCUGUCUCCUUCCACCAUGUGGACCUCAGAUCCGAGCUAUCUCAUUGGCUGUUCUGUUCAGACUGCCCCAGCUCUGGCUACUGGGCUCUUGAAUCCUUCGGGGAAACUCUCUUGGCCUGUUGAUUUUCCCAUGAGGUGAACGUGUCCACCUCAGCUGUGCAGCAGGUUAGAAAAGGCGUACAUCCUCUGGGCCCACCUCACUAUAACCAUUCCGGCUGGAGUUCUGAGCCGGGGCCAACAUGAUCUCUUCAUUUGCCCUGAAACAUUGUUAUGCGUGAUACAACAUAGGGGCUAGUGGCACACGAGCAAAAACAAACCAAACAUUUUGGCUCCAAAAGCCAGUAAUAAUACGAGAAUUAUUUUACAGACAAUACUCUCAAGUCAGUGGGUGCAUAGCCCAGAGCACAUAGUAGCCAAGCAAAGACCUGGUAAAAUCAAGGGUGGCUCUUUACUGGAUUGAUGUGUGCCUCUAAUACUCCGGGUGCUAUGUGCACCAAUUAGUGAACAAUAAAUGAGGCAGAAGUUAACUGUGAGAGGCAGAGAGAACUUUCCACUACUGCAUUUCCUUCAUGGAAGAUCCUCUGGCAUUAAGGAAGAUAAAAGUUAGCCCUAAUUGAUGAUUAGUCCCUUAGUCCACAGCUAAAAGCAGCUCAUAUAGUAUUCAGAAGAAGAGUUGGAAUCUUUCAUUCUGAAAGAACCAGCCCCUAAAGGGUAUUUGUAGUUCUUUUCCAUUUUCGCUUGCACCAUCUCAGAGAGAUGCUAUUGUGGGUCAACCUUGUUCUGGAAUCCUGCCUCACACACUAUUCCCUUCUGGCAUUUUAUUACUUGAAAUUUCUCUUCAAUUCUCAUGCCCUGAAGACAGACAGAAACAAGAACUGCCCAAUCUUUGUUAAGCCUCACCAUCUUAUUUUUGAUUCUUCUAAUUUUAUUGACCCAUCAAUAAAGGACAUGCAUGUGGGGCAGGAGAGAUGGCCCAGUGGUUAAGAGCAUUUGCUGAUUCUGCAGAGGACCUGCUUUCAGUUCCCAGCAUCCACGUGGUAGCUCGCAGCCAUCUGUAACUCUGGUUUUAAGUGAUCUGAUAUGUUCUUCUGACCUAUGCAACCAAGUGGUGCAUAAAGAUACAUGUAGGCAAAACACCCAGAUAAUUUUUUCAAAGACCUAUGCUGUUUUUAUUCGAAAUUCAAAUCUGCUUUGCUUUAAGGGUUUUUUUUUUUUUUUUUUUUUUUUUUUUUUAAUUGCCUGGGUUCCUCUUCCUGGAAUUGGCUGGCCCUACAAUAAAGAUGGAUCUUAGGAAGAAAGAGACAUAUGAAACAUUUUGGUUUCUUUUGGUAACGCAAUCCAUUUGGGUUUCCAUAACAGAGUCUCACAGACUCUGUAGCUUAUAAACGACAAAAGUUGACUUCUUAAAGUCCCAUAAACUAGCAAGCCCAAAUAAAACUAGGCCAGCUUCAUCACACACAAGGGUCUCUUUUAGCUAUGUCCUUACACUAAAGAAGUUAAGAAGUCUUCUGGGACAUCUAUUUAAUGUCAGUAACCUCAUUCGUGAUAAUUCCUUUAAUCAAAUAUUACAAGUUCUACUUCUGUUUGUCUGUCCGUCUAUUUCUUUGGCACAGGGCUUCUCAGUGUAUGUAGCCUGGCUGUCCUGGAACUUAUUCUAUAGACGAGGCUAGCCUCAAAUGCACGGGUCCACUUGCCUCUGCCUCCUGAGUACUGGAUUCAAAGGCUGCACUACUGUGCAAAGUCCACAGCUGGUUAAGACCAUGAUGUCAAUGCCGUUUCUCCUCCAGCUGCCUGCAUAGUGCCUUGCAGUGCUGUCAAAGCUAACCACCAGGUGGGAGACACCAACUCAGUUCCAGUUUUGUUUCUCUGUGUCCCGGAGCCAAAGAAGCUGGUGUCUCUUGCAUGAGUGCAUCAUAGUUUUGAGUCCAAAAUCUAUGCAUUUAACUUGGAAUGUCUGUAGAGAUAUGGCAGCAAGAAAGAGGCCAUAGGCGAGGGAACGAGGUCACCGUGGGUUUGGAAAUAGCAGAGCACUUGCAAUAGGAAAGCAGAGGAAGGAAUAUUGAGGGUGGGGAAGGGUUAAAUGAGUGGAGACUGGGACAUGAGGGAAGGGCAGACAAGAGGAACCCAAACCAAGGAUACGUGAGGAAGCCAUUUGGAAACACUGACUUGGAAACUGGGAUGAAAAUGUCAGUAAGGAGAGGCAGACCUUUACGGCCUUGACCUCAGGAUUUAACUUUGAGUGAGCACAAAAGACUGGGGGGUUGACAAUGCAGUGACAGCAUUGAAGAACAUGGAUUUGUCAGCCAUACCUACCGAGAUGUGAAUUAGCACCCUAAGGGUUUUGUAUAGUGAGAGGGCACUGCAUUGCACUAUUAUAAAGUAUGGAAAAGAUGCAUGCUGCCCCGACGAGCCUCUGGAAAGGCACUACCACGUCCCAAGUGACAAGCGUAGUGCCUGAGCAUCUUUGAGAAGACUGUGUGAGGAUUUUUAAAUAUCUGGCAGAUAGAGUGAGUGUUAAGUGUUUCCAGCAAGGAGGACUCUAUCUGGUGCUCUCAAGUCAGUUUGUUCUGUGAUUUCAAAUUUUUACUUGAUUGACAAACAUAACAGAAGGGAAGUUUCUAUCAGAAAAAGUUAAGUCAAUAAUAGGUGAACAUUUAUGAAUAAGGAAAAGAAAGUAUGAAAAGAAAACCUUUAUCCCUUCACAAAGAGUGGGAACACUUUCUGGCUUAAAGACAAGCAAAACACCCAACCAACCAACCAGCCAAACAAACAACCCCACAACAGUGUGGUAUAUUUAUUUCCUGGGGUGGUAGAUAGUGGCUGUUACAAAUAUUGGGUUUAAGUUUUAUAUUAAGUUUUAUAUGACAAAGUGGUUAACUUUAUCAAGACAAAACCACAGUGAAGUCCAAGUGUAUAGCAUGGACACUACGGCAGGGAAGAAGUCAGUAUGCUAUGUCUGUCCCGUCUUUUAGUGACAGUCCAAAGUUAUAGUGGGCUCUUCUGUUUUAACUGCUCUCGUCGACUAGAUUAUCAACUAACGAGUUUAAUAACAACUCAAGAUUCAUGUCACCUUUGCAAGGACCCUGAAAGUAACACUAGCUGGUUUUCAGAAAGACCCUAGUAAAGAGAUCAUUCUCAAAUACAAACAUCAGUGACUGCCUGCCAGCCUCAUACUAUAAAGCUACCUUUCCUUUGUUACUGGUUGAUGGCCAGCAUAUUCACUUUUCUCCUUUGCUCAGCUUCUCUUAUUACUGCUGUGUCCUACUAGCAUUUUCUUUAUUUGAACAGUUCAUUUACAUCACAAAUAAGUCAAAUAGAAAGAAUUAAUUUACUAAAUCGAGGGAUCCAGACUCGACCUAUAAAGGCAAAUGCAACCCGUGGACAUGGUGGAUUGAUCCACCUGAUAGGUAAAAAAUUUAGAACUACCACACCAACAUUUAGAUCUUUGAGUUUCUCUUUAUAAAUCAAUGGAUUUUCAAGGUCAGGAUUUCAUAUAGCCAGGAUCUGAUGCAACAAAAUAUUUUAAAGGUGUUAGUCUCUGUUGCUCAUACUCAGAUAUUUUUCCCAUCUGCCUUCCCUAGAUAUAAAUACAUGACUCUCAUAUUAAAUUGAUAUGAGUGGUCAUAGUAGAGGUGAUGUUCAUAUGAUUAUGAAUUAAAGAUUCAAUAUAACUUAACAAAUAAACUCAGCUUACAUGAGUUAAAUUACUCAUUUGCAUUAAUUUAUUCCUGUAAUGUCCAUUGAGGCACCCUUGGGAGUAAAAUAUCCUUGUAACUGUAAACAAAAUAGAUUCCUGGUUAUACGUACAACGAAAGGGGAAGUUAACACACCUGCAGAGCUGAGUACUAAUCCCAAGGAUUUCAUUCCUAGUCAUGUUCCCGAGCUUAUUCUUCCCCCAAACUAUAACAGAAAAGUCAUAAUUCAUUUUUUAAAAGAUUUAUUUUUGAUUAAGUGAUUUCAUGAUGUAACAUGGUUUUAAACAAAAAUAGAGAUCAGUAUGAAAAUAAAACAAAUUGUACACAUUAAAAUAUCUUUCCGUCAAAGCAUUUCAUAAUCAUAAAAAAUACAACACAAGAGUCGGAGGCUCAGGUGAGAAUAAGAAUACAGACUUCCCAGAAAAUGAACAACUGGCCCAUAAUCCAGUCCUCAGUGCUGUGUAACACCACUCACGAAGCGCUUCUAGGAUGCCUAUCAACAAAUUUGUGCCUUAAAAAAUGUAAAUGUACGAUAAAAUGAGGGCUGUGUAAUCUUACUUCUAAUAGCAAAUACCUCCCAUUAUUAUUGGUUACUAAAAGUUACACCGAAUAAAUACAAAGCUUGAAUCAACUCAACAAAAUCAGAAGUGUACCUAUCAACUGCGCUAUGGUAUAGUGGAUGGAAUGAGUGGGUGGAGCUGGUGAAGAGAAGUGGAAAGGCUUAAAAAAUGCACCACUGUACUCUACUGAAAUCUUAGAAAUAAAAUGUUUUUUUACAGAGCCUUAAGAUUAAAAAGUAAGCAUUAUUAUAAAAUUAGAUUAAUACUUCAGUAAGAGGCAAGAGAGAUGCAUGUGUCUUUAUUCAUUUUUUUUUUUUUGGAAUGCCUGCAUCCCUAUUAUAAAAACAUAAUCUUAUGCACUUUCUGAUGUGCUAACAGCUCUCAUAUCUUACUUAUGCUAUCACUCAAAGAAAAAUAAGCUGUAAUUACAUCUUUUAGGGCAUUAGGGUCCUAAAGAACAUUCUGUUCUGUGUAUUCCCUGGUUCACCCUUCCAAGGUGUUUCUUUUCACAGAAGGUGAUAAUUACCCGAAUUUACUGAUGAAUUCUUACACCAGUAAUAGUUGAUUCAGUUUGAAUCAUACAACAUACCUACCAACACCCCUCAGGGUUGCAAUAUCUUAAAAGAAGAUUUGAUAUGAAGAUAUCACCUGCCCAAGAUCACUAGACAUAAAAAUCAGAUACAGCUAGAGCCCUCCUGUUCUGUUGAGCUGUUUGAUCAUGAAAUGAGAAUAAAGUACCUUGAAGAUCAAAAUCUAAGCCAACAUGUCUGCUGUCUUGAUUAACUUCUUCAAUAUGAAACACUUGCUAGGCCUCCUUUUGUAAUGUAGUAAUCUCACACUUAGGAUUUUUGCUUUCCAGAUCAAUAGGGAAUGUUUAAAUCAACAUUAGAUAGUAUUUGAAUAUCUCAAAAGCUAUGCUAAUGUCAACUAUGAAAAUAAGUAUGGUGAAAUAAGAUCACUUUUUAUUUCACAAAUAGUGACUGGUAGUGGCAACAAUAACUUUCAAGUUUUUUUAAAACUAUAAUUUAAUGCAAAUUGUUGAGUUUCCUGAUUGAGCUAUGGUUAGCCUUAAAACUUUGGGACUAAAUGACAUUUUGUAAUACAGGAAAUACUAGCCAACUGAAGUCAUACAACAAGGGUAUUUCCCACCAGGUAGAUGGCCAAUCAGUGCCUUCACUAUACACAAAUGCAUUGUUCUCAAACCUCAGAAACCAAAAUGGAACACGCUCCUACCCCCACUGGCAAGGUCUAAGUCUGAUGAUGUUUGUACCAUUGUUUUAUUGUUCCCUUAGCUAUUCUGAUUGCAAAUGUGCCUUCGUUCACUCCUAAGUCAGAUUGCUGUGAUAUGGCAAACACAAUCAUUAUUCCCACAAUACCAGUUCCUUGAACAGAGCUGUUACUCCUGAAUCUCAUUACCAGGGUGAUACAACUGCCAGGCAUCUACUUUUCUACUUUUUUUUUUCUAAUUACCCCUUUAAUGGUAAUGAUUGACCUUAAAUAACAGCUCAGAAACCUUUAAUGUCUCUGGCAUUCCUUUGCUUCUGUGCUAGACAAAUUACCUGGAAAUGCAACAGAACUACGGCACUAAUAAAUUCUGGCAACUGGAAUAUGUUUCCAAGGAACAUUCCCAUUAAUAUUAAGUCAAGUCCUGUGGAAGUAGGGUAGCUGAUUCAGGAUACCACUCAACAGCUGGCCCAAAUCUCAAUGUAGCUGGGAAGUUGGGCAGGACUCUUCAAUUGCAUGUUGCUUUUAUGGGGUUGGUGAUGCCUUUUAAUGAUAAAAUGGCCUCAUUUCCUGCCCCUGGAAUUUCCUGAAUGAAGUUAAAUUGAAUAAAAUUCUAGACUCUUCAUUAUAAAAUGUAUGCCUUGUUAGAAAUAGCUGCGUGCAAAAAGGGCCUAAAGGCCAUUUGAACAAAUAUCAGGAAGACAGAAAGAGAAACAAGCUGUUGUGGUCCCUCCAUAUCACUGGGGUUCAGCUUGCCAUGCCUCUGAAGACUCAGGGUUAUCAAAAAUUAAUAAUGAAAGCCAGGCCUCUGGUUGGUGCCUUUUCAUAUGCUUGCUUCUACAUAGUCCCCAAGGGGGCCAAAUUCCUGUGCUGGGCAAAUCCACCCGAUCACAAUCAGAUUUGUCUUAAAUUCCUCCCACAGGCAGUAAAUGGAAACAAUGCAUCUGCGAGAAGCCAUUUCCAUGAAUGUGCUCCUUUCUCCGAGCCCUCUCCAGGAGUGCCACAUUCCAAGAGUGUUUAAGAAGUAACUGUCAUCAUUCACCAUGAUGGAAAUGAAGACAGAGUUCUGUGGAGGCUUAUUUUUCAUCCGUGCCCGUACACUGCUAUUUUGAUAUAGAAAGGUAUCAAGAAAAGCAAGGCGCUGUCUACAUCUACCAAAGAAACCAAAACUGAAAUGGAAAGGAAAGGAAAGAAAAUGAACUUGUGACCAAGAGUGAGCCGUUGGAAGUGCAUGAAGCAAAAUACAACAUGAACUUCGUGAGUCACCACGACUAACCCACAGCUAUUCUAUUAAUAAUGAGCACGGAUGGCACAAGAACCUAAGGGCUGUGUCUGAAGUACAAUUGUUUUAAAGAAACAUGUGCUGCCACAGAUGAGAAUAAAUUAUUCGGACAGGCAUGGAACUAAGGUCUGGUGGCUAAGUUAGAACUCUAUUUGAAAUUGUAUUCGUUUUUGGGUUUUUUUUUGUUUGUUUGUUUGUUUUGUUUUUGAAAUCUAAACCACUAUUCACUCAACGACUGAUUGGUGAGAGCAUGCGGAUAAAUGGAGACCUUGACACACCUCUUCAGGAAAGCAUUUUUGAGCUUGACGUGCUGACUAUACAAGCACAGAAAUACUCUUACAUUCUGAGAAGAGCCUUAUAGAAGGGUCGCGUAAAGAAGGCGUCCAACAAGUACUGGUGUAUUAGUGCAAGACCGAGGAUCCUCCCACUGAAUCGAAACCUGUGAGGGAGAAACACAAGGUGGGUGAACACGGAACAGUGUCUUGAGGACUGGGCCUACCCUCUAGAACGAGUUUCAAAUUCCCGGACACUGUAGUAUGUGUCUUCAUUUAUCAAUGUUUAAAUUUACUUGUAGAGGAAAUCUGUUCCUCUGAUACUUAGGGACACCUUACUGUUACUCCAUAUCAACAAUGUCACUCUGUAUCCCCCCACAUAUGACAGCAUGAGUCCCCCAUCACCUUUUAGUAAGAUUUCCCCCAAACUAUCCCAAGACAUAAAGACUAGGAAGAUUGGAAAAAUGUUGUCCUCAGUUUGUGUGCGUGAAUAUUAGUGGAUUUCUUCAAUGCAAAGUAGGGCAAUUCCCUUUGGAGGAAAAGCCCUUAUUCAGAUAGAGAAGGUUCCCAUCCUUCUCUGUUCUCUCUCAAGCCUCAGUCCUGAUAGUAAAUACGGUCAUUCACAAAGUUUACAUGCAGACAUUGGGGGUGGGGGUGGGGCUUUCCUCAUGAGACAUUCUGUUCUCCAAAAUUUCCAAGUGAAAUGCUAUUCUGAAUCAACUUGGAAACUUUAUAUAUAGAUCUGUUACAGUUGGGUUUUCUGCCUGAGGUACACAAUUACUUUCUCCAUCACAAGUAACUGGGUCUCCAGCUCUUCUAAGUCUGAUGCCUUUACCAGUACUGUAGGUCUGUAAUUUUUAGUUUUGGGCAGGCUUUGUGAGGUCAGUGGCCAGCAACUUUUGGCCCUGUUUUUUUCCACUUAGGUUAGCACAGCUGUCACACUCAGAGUUAGGAGGCCUCUGAAUUUGUAACUAAACAAGAAGUUAAUUUGAAGAGUAAGACCUGAAAGCUAAUGUUCUUCCCUAUCAAUAACCUCAUGACCCAAAGAACCUUUCUCCACUUCUGUUCUCUUUGUCACUAUCAGUGAAAAGGAACAGGAACCAAUCAAUAGGGCUUCUGUAAAUAUUUAAAGGCUACAAAUGCAAGGAUUUGAAAAUGUUGUAAAGACAUUUAGAAAAAGUGUAAUUUGGGAUUCUUUUAAAAUAAAUACCUCCAGAUAGGAAUCUUAAGAUUGUUUCCCUUGGUUUGGGGUGAUAUGUUAAGAAAAAGGAAAGUUCAGCUUGCAAACUUGAAGUGGCUUAAAUGUGCUGGUGUGAGGGUGAGUGGGUACUGCCUUGACUCCCCAUUCACACACUUGAUCUGCAGUUGUCCUGGGCCACCACUAUGCCUCCACCAUGCUCCCCUCUGCCACCCCCACAACUCUAUGAACAGCCCUCAUUCAGGGCUCAAGCUGUUCCACCUCCCCUCCCCUCAGGGUCAAUCAUUUCCCCAGGCAGUUAGAGAAGCUGCUUGACCUGUGCCAGAGGAACCUGGGGGUCUUGCUAAGAAACUAAUCAUCUGUAACAUUUUUCCAAUGGGAUAAAGCUUCUGAAUUCUACUCGAUUCCUUUAAAAUCAAUCUAAUGCACUGUAAUCAGUUACCAGUUGGGGGACUGUCUAAAUAAUUAGAUUUAACAACCAAAAUAAAGGCCAAAUGAGGUAUAUAACUGAUAAUGUGAUUUUUAUCCAGGAAGGAAAAAUUAUUAAAAGAAAUGUGGCUUCCUUUGGAGAGAGGAGUAGUCAGCAUCACAGAAAAUUAAAUGAGCACAAUUGUUAUAGAAACGACCCCCUUACCA